UCUCCGUUGGUGAACCAGCGGAGGGAUCAUUAUCGAGUUUAUAACUCCCAAACCCUAUGUGAACUUACCACUUGUUGCUUCGGCGCGCGUUUCGGUGCCGCCGAGGACACUUAAACUCUUUGUUUUUAUAAGCAUUUCUGAGUGGCCGAAAGGCAAAAUACAAAUGAAUCAAAACUUUCAACAACGGAUCUCUUGGUUCUG
rnacentral:misc_RNA from 1 species